UUUUAGCCCCGAUAAAAGUGGAAAUCCUCCAUGGCCGGGGUUCGGCCAGGGAGAUUGUAACGGAUAGCGGGAGCAAUG
rnacentral:sRNA from 1 species